rnacentral:rRNA from 1 species
CAGUGGGGAAUAUUGGGCAAUGGGCGCAAGCCUGACCCAGCAACGCCGCGUGAAGGAAGAAGGCUUUCGGGUUGUAAACUUCUUUUCUUAGGGACGAAACAAUGACGGUACCUAAGGAAUAAGCCACGGCUAACUACGUGCC